ACUUCCGCUUCCUGCCGCCCUGUGAAGAGGGUGCCUUUCUUUCCCUUCGCCUUCUACCAGGAUUGUUAAGUUUCCUGAAGCCUUCCCAGCCACGUGGAACUAAUUUCACUCUUGUGGCCCAGGCUGGAGUGCAAUGGCGUGAUCUCAGCUCACUGCAACUUCUACCUCUCGGAUUCAAGUGAUUCUCCUGCCUCAGCCUCCCAGGUAGCUGGGUUUACAGGUAUGAGCCACCACACCCGGCUAAUUUUUUGUAUUUUUAGUAGAGAUGUGGUUUUGCCAUGUUCAUCAGGUUGGUCUCGAACUCCUGACCUCAGGUGAUCAACCUGCCUAUGCCUCCCAAAGCUCUGGGAUUACAGGCAUGAGCCACUGAGCCUGGCUAAUUGAUUUUAUUUUUUAUAAAAGUUUUAAAUUUACAGAAAGAUGGAGCAGAUAGUAGGGAGAAUUUGCAUAUAUCCUCCCUCUAUGCUUCAAUCUCACACACAGUUUUCCUUAUUGCUAACAUCGUACAUUAGCACAGUUUGUUAAAAUUAAUGAACCAAUAUUGAUAUAUUAUUAACUGACGUCCAUAAUUUAUUCUGAUUUUUUUUUUAGUUUUUACCUAAUGUUUAUUUUCUACUCUAGGGUCCUGAGUCCUUAGUCCCCUUUUGGCUGUGAUGAUUUAUCAUGCUUUCCCUUUUUUUGAUGACCUUGAUAGUUUUGGGAAGUGCUGGUCAGAUACAUUGUUGGGGUGCCUUUCUAUUAGAAUUUCAUGUUUUUCUCACUAUUGGACUAGAGUUAUGGUUUUUGUGGAGAAAGAUCACAAAGGCAAAGUAUAAUUUUUAAUCACAUUACAUCCAGGGUAUGUACGAUUUACAGCAUUUAUGAGUAUUGAUGUUGAUUUUGAUGGCUGAUGUAGUGUUUGUCAGGUUUCUUCACUGUUUUUCUUACCCCUUUCUUCCAUACUGUAUUCUUUGGAAGAAAGUUACUAUGUGCUUCCAAGACUUAAGGAUCUGGGAGUUAUGCUUCCCCUAUUUUAGGGUGAAAGGUCUAAAUAAGUUAUUUGGAAUUCUUCUGGAUAGAUUUGUUUCUUCUCUCCCAUUUAUUAGUUUAUUUAAUUAUUUAUAUCCAUAAGGACUUGUGGAUAUUUAUUUUAUCCAAUACUAUUUUAUUUUGUUGCUCCAAUUGCCCCAUCUUUGGGCAUUGGGAGCUCUUUCAGUUGGCUCCUGUGGCACUUUGACAUACCCUAAUCAUUGUGAGUUUGUGUGUGUGUGCGUGUAUGUGUGUAUGUUUUGAGCACUGUGCUUCACCUAUUCAUUCCUCCCUCUCUUGCCUUCAUGCCCUAACCUCUGGCAACCAGUGAUAUUUUUUGUCUCUAUAGUUUGCCCUUGCCAGAAUAUGAUAUAAUUGAAAUCACACAACAUGUAGCAUUUUCAGGCUAGCUUCUGUUACUUGCAAUAUGCAUUCACAUGCAUUUAAAUGUAGCUUGCAUUUAAGCAUGACCUACCUUUUUGUGGCUUGAGAGAUCAUUUCCUUUUAUCACUGAAUCCUGUUCCACUAUUUGGAUGUCCUAGUUUGCUUAUCCAUUCACUUAUUGAAAAACAUCUUGGUUGGUUCCACUUUGGGUAGUUAUAAGUAAAGCUGUUAUAAACAUUUGAGUACAGGUAUUUUUGUGCACAUAAGUUUUCAAGUGAAUUGGGUAAAUAACUAGGAGCCUGAUCAUAUGGUAAGACUAUGUUUAGCUUUGUAAGAAUGUGCCAAACUGUCUUCCAAAGUGGCUGUACCAUCUUGCAUUCCCACCAGAAAUGAAUGAGAGUUUCUUUUGCUGUGCUUCAUUGCCAGUAUUUGUUAUUGUCAAAUUUUUGGAUUUUAGUCACUCUAAUAGGUGUAUAGUGGUAUCUCUUUGUUUAAUUUGCAAUUAUUUAAUGAAAAAUGAUGUUGCACAUCUUUUCAUAUGGUUAUUUGCCAUUUGUAUGUCUUUUUUGAUGAGGUGUAUGUUCAGGCCAUUUGACCAUUUUUUAUUGGAUUGUUUGAGUUCUUAUUGUUUUUAUUUUAUUUUAUUUUACUUUAAGUUCCAGGAUGCAUGUGCAGAAUGUGCAGGUUUGUUGUAUAGAUAUACAUGUGCCAUGGUGGUUUGCUGCACCUAUUGACCCAUAAUCUGUGUUUUCUCCCCUUGCUCCCAACCCCCCAAUAGGCCCUGGUGUGUGUUUUUUCCCACCAUGUGUUCUCAUUGUUUAAUUUCCACCUAUGAGUGAGAAUAUGCGAUGUUUGGUUUUCUGUUCCUGUGUUAGUUUGCUUAGGAUGAUGGCUUCCAGCUUCAUCCAUGUCCCUGCAAAGGACAUGAUCUCAUUCCUUUUUUGGCUGCAUAGUAUUCCAUGGUAUAUAUGUACCACAUUUUCUUUAUCCACUCUAUCAUUGAUGGGCAUUUGGGUCGGUUCCAUGUCUUUACUAUUGUAAAUAGUGCUGCAAUAAACAUACAUGUGCAUGUGUCUUUAUAGUAGAAUGAUUUAUAUUCCUUUGGGUAUAUACCCAGUAAUGGGACUGCGGGUCAAAUGGUAUUUCUGGUUCUAGAUUCUUGAGGAAUCACCAUGCUAUCUUCCACGAUGGUUGAACUAAUUUACAUUCCCACCAACAGUGUAAAAGUGUCCUUAUUUCUCCACAGCCUCUCCAGCAUCUAUUGUUUCUUGACUUUUUAAUAAUUGCCACUCUGACUGGCAUGAGAUGGUAUCUCAUUGUGGAUUUUGAUUUGCAUUUCUCUAAUGACAGUGACGUUGAGCUUUUUUUUCAUAUGUGUUUUGGCCACGUAAAUGCCUUCUUUUGAAAAGUGUCUGUUCAUAUCCUUUGCUCACUUUUCAAUAGGGUUUUUUUUUUCUUGUAAAUUUGUUUAAGUUCCUUGUAAAUUCUGGAUAUUAGACCUUUGUCAGAUGGGUAGAUUGCAAAACUUUUCUCUCACUCUCUAGGUUGCCUGUUUGCUCUGAUGAUAGUUUCUUUUGCUGUGCAGAAGCUCUUUAAUCCCAUCCCAUUUGUCAAUAUAUUCAGGUUAUUUGACCACUUUUUAUUGAAUUGUUUGAGUUCUUAUUGUUGAGUUUUAAGAGUUCUUUUUAUAUUUUGAAUACAAGCCCUCUAUCAGAUAUGUGUUUUGUGAUAAUUUUCUCACAGUAUGUGGCUUGUAAUUUUAUUCUAUUAAUAAUGUCUUUCACAG
rnacentral:lncRNA from 1 species